rnacentral:lncRNA from 1 species
AGGAACUCCUCUGCCUAGAAAGGAAAGCUAGCAGUGACCAACUGGGAGGGGGACAAGAGCAUGUGGCUGGAUUGGAAGUGGCCACGAAGGUCACAUCUGGCCUGGUGUCCUCACCUCCUGACACAGGGGUCUGAGUAUCACCUGUGAUCCCUGCCAGCAUCCAUGAGACAGGCAAGAGAAAGAGUGCUUUGUGAAGGCGCUGCAGCAGAAGACAAACACAGAAGUGGAGCUUCAAGAAGACUUGAUCCCAGGGCCACUGGAGUCUGAGGACCAGUGGAUGGAGAGCCAUGAUACUCCAGAAUCAUGCAGAGGCAGACAUGGUGUUGGAGAAGUAGCUGAGAGUUCUAGAUCUGGAUCUGCAGGAAGCAGGGAUGCUGGCCCUGAGCUGGGCUUUUGAAACUUUAAAGCCCACCCCCACAACAAGGCCAUAGCUCUGAAUACCAUCAAAGAGUGCUAUACCCUGUUUACCAAGUAUUCAAAUAUAUUCUCAUUCAAACCACCACAAAUAGUACAGCUGGUUCUUACGGAAGAUCUAUCUCUAGCAAUGUUUUCCAGAACAUUUCUCCUGUUUUUCAUAAUGACUGUACAUGUGAAUAUAUACUCUCUUACCCCACAGUCAUGCCAAGAGUUGUGGUCAUUUAGUCUACUUGUAAUAGCCAUUCUGACUGCAGUAAGAUACAAGGUUAAAACUAUUUUAAUUUGCAUUUUUCUGAUGAAGAAGGAUAUUAAACAUUUAAAUAC